rnacentral:rRNA from 1 species
AGUGAACGCUGGCGGCGUGCCUAAUACAUGCAAGUCGAACGAAGUGGCGCACGGGUGAGUAACGCGUGAGUAACUGCCCCCCUCUCUGGGAUAACAGUUGGAAACGGCUGCUAAUACCGGAUAGUGGGGGAUGACUCGCGGUCUAUCAGCUUGUUGGUGGGGUAGUGGCCUACCAAGGCGACGACGGGUAGCCGGCCUGAGAGGGGGACCGACCAAAUUGGGCUGAGAUACGGCCCAAAGUCCUACGGGAGGCAGCAGUGGGGAAUAUUGCACAAUGGGGGAAACCCUGAUGCAGCAACGCGCGUGCGGGAUGACGGCCUUCGGGUUGUAAACCGCUUUCAGCCAUGACGCGGUAGUGGCAGAAGAAGCACCGGCUAACUACGGGCCAGCAGCCGCGGUAAUAC